UGGGGAAUCUUGCGCAAUGGGCGAAAGCCUGACGCAGCCAUGCCGCGUGAAUGAUGAAGGUCUUAGGAUUGUAAAAUUCUUUCAGCAGGGACGAUAAUGACGGUACCUGCAGAAGAAGCCCCGGCUAACUUCGUGCCAGCAGCCGCGGUAAUACGAAGGGGGCUAGCGUUGCUCGGAAUUACUGGGCGUAAAGGGCGCGUAGGCGGGUCGUUAAGUUGGGGGUGAAAGCCCAGGGCUCAACCCUGGAAUUGCCUUCAAUACUGGCGACCUAGAGUAUGAGAGAGGUGUGUGGAACUCCGAGUGUAGAGGUGAAAUUCGUAGAUAUUCGGAAGAACACCAGUGGCGAAGGCGACACACUGGCUCAUUACUGACGCUGAGGCGCGAAAGCGUGGGGAGCAAACA
rnacentral:rRNA from 1 species